GUCUAUGGCCAAACUACCCUGAACGCUCUCAAACUCAUCUGAUCUCAGAAGCUAAACAGGGUCAGGCCCGAUUAGUACUUGGAUGGGAGUAGUAGCAGGGAGACCAAUUGGGAGGUCGUUCAGU
ensembl:rRNA 5S_rRNA 5S ribosomal RNA